UACGUAGGCAGCGAGCGUUGUUCGGAGUUACUGGGCGUAAAGCGCGCGCAGGCGGUCUUCCAAGUCAGUGGUGAAAGCCCGGAGCUCAACUCCGGAACUGCCAUUGAAACUGUGAGACUUGAGGAUGAGAGAGGUGAGUGGAAUUCCCAGUGUAGAGGUGAAAUUCGUAGAUAUUGGGAAGAACACCGGUGGCGAAGGCGGCUCACUGGCUCAUUUCUGACGCUCAGGCGCGACAGCGUGGGGAUCAAACAGG
rnacentral:rRNA from 1 species